rnacentral:rRNA from 1 species
GAUGAACGCUGGCGGCGUGCCUAAUACAUGCAAGUCGAGCGAACGGACGAGACUCUUGCUUCUCUGAUGUUAGCGGCGGACGGGUGAGUAACACGUGGAUAACCGACCUAUAAGACUGGGAUAACUUCGGGAAACCGGAUCUAAUACCGGAUAAUAUUUUGAACCGCAUGGUUCAAAAGUGAAAGACGGUCUUGCUGUCACUUCUAGAUGGAUCCGGGCUGCAGUAGCUAGUUGGUACGGUAACGGCCUACCAAGGCAACGAUGCAUAGCCGACCUGAGAGGGUGAUCGGCCACACUGGAACUUAGACACGGUCCAGACUCCUACGGGAGGCAGCAGUAGGGAAUCUUCCGCAAUGGGCGAAAGCCUGACGGAGCAACGCCGCGUGAGCGAUGAAGGUCUUCGGAUCGUAAAACUCUGUUAUUAGGGAAGAACAUAUGUGGAAGUAACUGUGCACAUCUUGACGGUACCUAAUCAGAAAGCCACGGCUAACUACGUG